UGCGCAUUGUAUGACCGAAAUAAGAUACGAUUGGUAGAUAGUGACCAUAUCAGUAUUAGAAAUCUUUUGUGUUUUAAAUAAAUACAUUGACUUGGCCAUCGUAGCAAACACAAUAUUCAAUUACAUUGUUUUGUGCGAUUCAGGAUUCUAACUUUAUCCACAACGAAGUUAAAGGGGUCGAAAAUGGCCUGAACUCAAGAAAAAGAUAGUAUGGCCCAGUUUAUUUUUUGCUCGACAUGGCGAGCGCAUCGCCUUGCCACCAAAUUAACUGAUAUUAUGAAACUUCUUUCACUCCUUGAAGGUCGUGUCUAGUACAUUAAAUAUAAUAAUGACAUAAUGUCAUUCAAAUUAUAAUAUUAAAAUAAAGGUCAUUUGUAUUCACAGAGUAGAGCAAGAUGUGACAGUGACUGUCUAAUGAUGAUUUUUGUUUUUGCACAGUUACUCUAACAAUUAAAAUAUUAUUUGAAAUUGCUUUUUCCAGGUAUCCAUGUCGAUAAUAAUAAUGAUGAACGCCAUCACGUUAUUUCUCAGCAUAUUCCUUUUCACAUCUGUCUAUGGUCUGGACGGCUCUGGUAGUUGGCUGAAUAGUUUUUCAAACAUGGGUCCUGGGUGAAAAAUCUUGAUUUGAGACCUAAUAUAGCCGUUCAUGUUUCACGGCCACGGGCGAAGUUGGUGAAUGCGGAUCAUAUUACAACUGUUAUGAUGCGCCCCAGGAUGAUAUAGGAAGCACAUCCGGAUGUUUACACUACCUUCAUGUCUGCUGUAUAAAUGUGCCUACCGAUGAUGAGGAUUUAGAAAUUUAAAACUUAAUUUAAUGAAAUGUUUUAGGUAGCAUAAUGCUCACUAAACAAUAGUUCAUUUAAUCUAUAAUUACAUUUACAGCCAGUUUUAAAGGGCGAUAAACUCUCCCUCUUUAAAUCGCCAUUUUAGUUUACAAGAGACGCGUUAAUCUAUAAUAAUUCUCAUGAGACAGCGAAAUAUAGUGAAGUGUAUUAAAGUGAACGGGAUACAAAAUGGUGUCUUUGUUCUGUGUUAUGAAACAUCUUGUUUAUGUUCUAAUAUGUACAAAAUUGACAAAAACUGCAGAAGACGAACUAAACAUCAAAAGAAACUUUAACUCUGACAGGAAUUACCGUAUUAAACGGGAAUUAAUUACAAUAUUCAUAUAAGACGUUGUCGUGGUUUUCAGCACCAGGUAUCUAUGCGAAUUACAAUAUAUUUCAAUGAAUGUUAUUGAAAUGUCAUUACCUAUAAAGAAAACAAAACUUGGAAGCUAUACUGCCGUUGGAGCUUAAAAUAAAUAUUAUCAGUAGAAUCCUUUUACCUAAUAUAGAUUGUUUUUAUUUCCGUAUACUACACACAAUUGACGUGGACAAACAACAAUUUUAUACCUUAUAUCUUCACGUCAUUUUCCCGGUAGGCCGACGAUCUUGCAAAAGUCCUGACAACUCUCUUGCUUCAUCCACUUUCAUGACAUCCACCAUGUAUGCUCGAAUAUGGCUACUUUUAAUUUGUACCUUCUCUUGUAUUGUUUCGUUGUAUAUCCUACUUAAGUGCUCUCAUUCAUCCGUCAGGCCUUGUACAGGGUGACCUUGUGUCUGAGAGACAUUUGACUCCUUUUAUUUAGGAGGAAA